GUCUACGGCUGUACCACCCUGAACACACCCAAUCUCAGUCUGAGCUCAGAAGUUAAGCAGGGUUGGGCCUGGUUUGUACAUGGAUGGGAGAAAGAAUUCAUGGAACUCAUGACGGCAGAAGGUU
rnacentral:rRNA from 1 species